GACGGAGGGAGCAAGCGUUGUUCGGAUUUACUGGGCGUAAAGGGCGUCUAGGCGGGUUGGUCAGUCAGGUGUGAAACCCCCCGGCUCAACCGGGGAUCUGCACUUGAUACUGCCAAUCUUGAGUAUGGAAGAGGAAAGCGGAAUUCCAGGUGUAGCGGUGAAAUGCGUAGAUAUCUGGAAGAACACCGGUGGCGAAGGCGGCUUUCUGGUCCAAUACUGACGCUAAAGCGCGAAAGUGUGGGGAG
rnacentral:rRNA from 1 species